rnacentral:tRNA from 1 species
CUUAGAGAGAUAGGAAUCGAACCUAAAACUGAGAGAUCAAAACUCUCCGUAAUCCCGUUUUACCACUCUCUA